rnacentral:pre_miRNA from 7 species
UUUUCAGAAAAGUAACUGAAAGAACCUAGUGGAGAAACCCCCACUCAACUCCUGAUUUGGCGUGCACCCAAGAAUCACGAACAGAACA